rnacentral:rRNA from 1 species
GUGCCAGCAGCCGCGGUAAUACGGAGGGUGCAAGCGUUAUCCGGAUUCACUGGGUUUAAAGGGUGCGUAGGCGGGUAAGUAAGUCCGUGGUGAAAUCUCUGAGCUUAACUCAGAAACUGCCGUGGAUACUAUUUGCCUUGAAUAUUGUGGAGGUGAGCGGAAUAUGUCAUGUAGCGGUGAAAUGCUUAGAUAUGACAUAGAACACCAAUUGCGAAGGCAGCUCACUACACAAUCAUUGACGCUGAGGCACGAAAGCGUGGGGAUCAAACAGGAUUAGAUACCCUGGUAGUCC